UCCACCCGUUGCCCUUCCGCAUCCCCUCGCUCUCCUCCUCCUCCUCAGAAAAAUCGCAUCAAAAACAGAGCAGUGAGAAGCGAAGUGGAACAAGAAAACUUAGGAGAAGAAGCAGAGAAACUAUUUUCCCGAAAUACUCACCUCCUUUCCCAGAAUGCCCCUUUGUAUCCAAACCGUCCCCGUUCCCGCGUACCAUCAAACCCUAGCCCCGAUUUCUCCCAAAGGCUUCGUCGUCUGUAAUCCCAAAAGACCGCUCCAUGAUUUGGAAAUUCUUACAGUUUUGAGAUCAAAAAUAGGAGGAAGUAUUCAUUUGAGGCGGAAAAAUCAUGGAACAAAGAUUUUCUUAGGUUGCAAUGGGUUGGUGUCCGCUAAUGAUGCAUUAGCAGAUGAUCGUGUGAAGAAAAGAAAUAUUGUGGAGCAUAUUUUUCUUCUGAGAGCAAAGUCAGAUUUAUCUGAUGUUGAAGAAAAAGACAUGCUUGAUCACCUUUAUACAUCACAAUAUCAGAUGAGUGGAAUUAUUGCAAUAUCAUUGGGUUGCAUAGAAGAUCCAAAUGUUGAUAAUUUUACCCAUGCAGUAUAUAUGCGUUUUCAAAAAAAGGAAGACAUUGCAAGGUUCUAUGUUAACUCUUACUACUCUCGAGUUCUUAAGGAACACGUCACACCAUAUUGCUAUGGAUCAGUUUCUGUGGAUUAUGAAUCUGAAGUAGAGGAUGAUAUUCUUUCCAUAUUCCGGAGGGGAGAGGAGUUCAACCAUGGCGUGGAGUGUAUACUUUUGAUAUCUAUCUUUGAUACUGCACCUGGAGAUGCUAUUGAAGAUGCAUUAGCUACUCUUCAGAACUUGAUUUUACAAUUUCGUCCCUUUAUUGUACAGGCAACACAAGGUAUACAAAAUAAGGACUAGUCACUUUACAGUUGUUGUUGUUUUUGUGGUGCACGUGCACACAUAAUAUUGCUUGUGUUAUUAAAGGUUAUAAUCUCAAACUCACAGAUAGCGAGUACACACAUGGUGCAGUCAUACGCUUUCCAUCAUUUGAGGCUUUGGAGGCUUUCAGGGAAAGCACAGAAUACAAGGAUAUGUGGAGGUUGAAGUUCCGUCCAAUCAUCAGAAAAGCUGUUCUGACACAUUUUUCAGUUGAUCCUGUGGGCACUGAAUUAAUGUAGUAUAGCUCAACAGUUUGGUUUUUCUGAUCUUCUGGAUCAGGUGCUGUCAGACCAUUGCUGAAUGCAUCGGCGCAAAGUAUCCAGUGAGGAAAGCUCUAAUCUCUUAUGCUUGCUGCCUGAGUUGUUACUAACUGUCUUGUCCUAAUUUCUGUAUCCAGUUAUGCAAAUACUUCUAUAAUUUCUUUAUAUAGGAAAAAAAAGAAGAAAUUCUAAAAAAAUUACACUCCUUUCAACUGUAGUAUACUUGUCUUACAGAAAGCAAUAAUAACAAGAAGUUCAAUUGUAUAAACUGCAAAGAAACCGUGUCUCUUGACCUCUAGAGGGGGAGGACUUGGAACACAGGUUGAACCUUAUCAGUUGUGCAGUGGGUUCGGUCCCUGAGGCACCAAUCUCUUGGACACCCCAUAUAUGGGGCUGAAAUCAUCGUCAUCAUCGGGCUCUUGCGAAGGAGAUAUGUUGGAGAAAUAACCCAUGCUUGGUGCCGAGUGCUCACCUCCCCACCUCUGUACCUCUCUGUUCAUAAUUCUGCGGCCAUGACUGAAACUAUCGAGCGGCUCAACGAGCAGAAGUAUGAGGAGGAAGAGGAACAUGGGUGGCAGAGUAGAUCUUUGGGUUCUCAUUCUUGUAAUAUGAGAAGUACAAGCAGCUGAAGACAGAAAGAGGGAGAGAGGGAAGGAGAGCAAGAUUGAAUUGAGCUCAGUGGGGCUAUAGACAGGUGGGGAAGUCUAUUAAUAUAGAACCUGCUCCUGUGGUGGGGAGAACACAGCCAAGUAGGGAAAAUAAGCUACUAGGAACUGUACCAAAAUAUCCUUCCAAAGUUUUCAAAUUGCCUUCAUCUUGCUAUUGCUUCUUCUAAAGUUCAGGGGUCAAUUUUGGCAGCCUCAAAUAAAUGUAUGACCUAGUGAUUGAAGGUGGGGGAAGUCUAUGUGUCAUAGACUAUUGGUGUUUGACUAACAUGUAGAGGGGAAGAUCCUCUAUUUCCCAUUUGGCUUUAUGCAGGUUAUAGGCUGAAUAUUAAAAUCUGUAGUAGUACAGAUAAUUGUCAUAAUCCUUAUAAAAUGAUCUUCUUAGCUA